GAUGAACGCUAGCGGCAGGCUUAACACAUGCAAGUCGAGGGGUAUGCCGAUUUAUCGGCAGAGACCGGCGCACGGGUGCGUAACGCGUAUGCAAUCUACCUUUCACAGAGGGAUGGCCCAGAGAAAUUUGGAUUAAUACCUCAUAGUAUAGCAGUUUCGCAUGAAACCACUAUUAAAGUUCCAACGGUGAAAGAUGGGCAUGCGUCCUAUUAGCUAGAUGGUAAGGUAACGGCUUACCAUGGCUACGAUAGGUAGGGGUCCUGAGAGGGAGACUCCCCCACACUGGUACUGAGACACGGACCAGACUCC
rnacentral:rRNA from 1 species